rnacentral:rRNA from 1 species
UAGAGUUUGAUCAUGGCUCAGAUUGAACGCUGGCGGCAGGCCUAACACAUGCAAGUCGAGCGGAAACGACACUAACAAUCCUUCGGGUGCGUUAAUGGGCGUCGAGCGGCGGACGGGUGAGUAAUGCCUAGGAAAUUGCCUUGAUGUGGGGGACAACCAUUGGAAACGAUGGCUAAUACCGCAUAAUGCCUACGGGCCAAAGAGGGGGACCUUCGGGCCUCUCGCGUCAAGAUAUGCCUAGGUGGGAUUAGCUAGUUGGUGAGGUAAUGGCUCACCAAGGCGACGAUCCCUAGCUGGUCUGAGAGGAUGAUCAGCCACACUGGAACUGAGACACGGUCCAGACUCCUACGGGAGGCAGCAGUGGGGAAUAUUGCACAAUGGGCGAAAGCCUGAUGCAGCCAUGCCGCGUGUAUGAAGAAGGCCUUCGGGUUGUAAAGUACUUUCAGUUGUGAGGAAGGGGGUAAGCUUAAUACGCUUACCUCUUGACGUUAGCAACAGAAGAAGCACCGGCUAACUCCGUGCCAGCAGCCGCGGUAAUACGGAGGGUGCGAGCGUUAAUCGGAAUUACUGGGCGUAAAGCGCAUGCAGGUGGUUCAUUAAGUCAGAUGUGAAAGCCCGGGGCUCAACCUCGGAACUGCAUUUGAAACUGGUGAACUAGAGUGCUGUAGAGGGGGGUAGAAUUUCA